UCACCCAGGUCCUGGGCUGAGCCAUGCCAUCCACUGGUAUUGUCUAAUAGUUCUUUAAAUGAAUAAAUGAAGACCCAAGUCACUGAUGAUCCUGAGAAUAGCAGAAUAUGGAGCCAGAAAAGACCAAAAAGAACCAGGAGAAAUGAUGUGAUCGAGAUUCAAAUGGAGAGUCGAAUUUGAGCAUCAAUGUAAAGAAACGCUGAAAUAGGUAUGAGGUCAUAGGAUGGAAAUCAGGGAGAUAAAAGAUUAGAAGAAAGAAGUCAAGUUCAGAGAGGAGAGUGGGAGGCGGAGAGCUGACAGAGAUAAUAAGUGCUUUCUAUAGGUUCCUGCGACUUCAUCCAAAGAUAGGACGGAAGCCUAGGGGCAAUCAAUUAGCAAAGACACAUGUUUUCAGGAGGUUUAAUAGAAAUGACUCUUUUAGGGAAAGUGAUCAAGUAUUAUGGUCGUGCUUGAAAAUGUGCCUAGUGCUGGGAGAAGUUAGCUUUCGAAAUAUUUCUUUAUCUUCACCCAAUGCAAAUCGUUUCUAUUUUUAAAUACCUCUCAGCUAUAGAUCUGGGCAUCCUUCAAAAAUUCAUACCCCAGCAUUUCAAUAGAUUCAUCUGGGAAAUCUAUCUUGGAGGUAACCCCAGCCUGAUUUUGCCCAGGCUUGCUAGUUAUGGUUGUGUACAAGUUUUCCUAAUUUCGUGUUGAGGGGUGUCACGUUAGUAGUGUGAAAUUAGCUAUAAUGGGAGUAUUUACACCACAGAAAUAGGUGAAUGCUACUGGUAAUGCCCUUCCCUCAACCUGCUGUUGAACAUUUACGGGCGCACCACACAGGUGAUUUUCCAAUAAACCUUCUAACAACCCCCUCUCAUCUCACCCUCUGUUUCAAUGAGACUAAGUUGAAGACGAAAAUCUUAAAAAUAGUCUGCCUCAUUUGCUCGCCUGGUGAAUAAGUCCCUUCCAAUGCCUCCUUCAUCAGAGAGCUCCAGUAGAGCUCCAGGUCUUUUGGUCACAGAGGCAAAAAAGCUGUCUAAAGCAAUUGAGCAUCCAUCUUUUGGGCUGUGUCUAUAGAAGACAGAGUCACAUGUGUUCCCAGCCACUGUGUGAUGACAACCUCCCAUCAUUCCGCCUCAUGUUCUUCACCAAAGUGGUGGGAUAUACUGGUUUGCACAUAAGUGAAGUCUAAAGAUGCACGCAAGUUUAUGUCCCUUCAGGAACCAUCAACCAGUGGGGCUGGGGGCUCUCGAAUGCAUCCUCUAGCCUCUCCUCUUUCUGGUAGGUCAAAACAUCUGCAUUAUUUCCAGAGGUUAGGGAGGAACUUUUUUCCUUGUGGCCUUCAGUUGAUAAAUUUCAGGAAGUCUCCAUGGGAGUUUUUAAAUGACGCAUCUCCUUGGGUUGAGAUGGAAGGCACAACCCCAGCACACGUCCUGUGCUAGCAGGACCAUCCUAGGGAAGAAGCGAGACCUUGAGGCAUGGAGUUGGGACAUUUGGGUAAAUGUGUCUGUAAAAUUUGUACCUGUGGAUUUCCCUCAACCCUCUUGGGCAAUAGAGACAGGCUAUUUUCUCUUGUUAGAGGAGAAUAGCUUUCCCCUCCUGCUAUUCUUCUGAGAUAUGAGAAACCUUUCCUGAGAUGGGUUUUCCUCAAAAUAAUGCUGUUUUCCUCAUUAUCUAUCUCUCGAGGAUUCAUUGUUUUCCUACCACUAACUGGAUCAUUUACAUAUCUAAUCAUAUGUAAAUUGAGUGAAAACAAUCCUUUUCCAGAGAAUCAUAGCUUACUCACUAAAGGAAUUUAAGACCAAGCUAAUCCAUACCAGCAGGAAAAUUCAAGAAAUAUAUGGGGGAGAGAAUCUUGAUGGUGUUGAAGCAGGUGAGACAGAACACAGAGCUGUGUACGAAUGAAUUUAUUGAUGUAAGAAACUUCUUCGUGGUUUAGGGUCUAGCAUUCUGGUAAAGACACCCGGACAUGUCCUACAAAGCUUAUGGAAAGGCUACUUGAACUUGGGCGUGAUGACUGGCUACACUAAAUGAAUAAGGUAUGGCAGAGUAUUGUGGAAUGGGCAACAAGGCUGAGGGAAGUAAAAGUGUUGGGAUGGAGUACCACUGAACACUCUGCUCUUCCUGCAGGAGGGAUCAGAAGUCAUGGCUUUCGGUGGGCAAUUAGUAAUACUCUAGUGAGGGGGCAGCAGCAGGACUGAAAAGUUCAAUCGUGGCUAACUGUUACAGAUCAGGUGACGCUGCCAUGCAACUGGGCUCCAGAGACGCAGAAGCUAGCUGGCAGCACUUUACACUGGAGGCAAGGUGGUCGUAGUGACCACACUUGGCAGCAAAGGCUGGGAUGACAACCAGAGUUCUCUGACUCCCAGGCAUCUGCCAGAAUGACUGACAGAUGAUAAUGUUCUUCGAGGUGAGAUGAAAGGUGAUAGAUGAUAGGAAGCUGAUGAGGGGAUUGCUUGUUUUGUAUAAUGGGAAGUAAUUGAGAAGUGAUGAGCAGAUACAUCAGCUCCAGCCAUGGAAAAUUGCAGUUCUUUCCUUGAUCUCUAGAUU